rnacentral:rRNA from 1 species
GAGACAGCAGUCGCCGCGGGAAUACGUAGGGUGCGAGCGUUAAUCGGAAUUACUGGGCGUAAAGCGUGCGCAGGCGGUUUUGUAAGACAGGCGUGAAAUCCCCGGGCUCAACCUGGGAAUGGCGCUUGUGACUGCAAAGCUAGAGUGCGGCAGAGGGGGACGGAAUUCCGCGUGUAGCAGUGAAAUGCGUAGAUAUGCGGAGGAACACCGAUGGCGAAGGCAAUCCCCUGGGCCUGCACUGACGCUCAUGCACGAAAGCGUGGGGAGCAAACAGGAUUAGAUACCCCUGUAGUCCCUGUCUCUUAUAC